rnacentral:rRNA from 1 species
CCUACGGGGGGCAGCAGUCGAGAAUCAUUCACAAUGGGGGAAACCCUGAUGGUGCGACGCCGCGUGGGGGAAUGAAGGUCUUCGGAUUGUAAACCCCUGUCAUGUGGGAGCAAAUUAAAAAGAUAGUACCACAAGAGGAAGAGACGGCUAACUCUGUGCCAGCAGCCGCGGUAAUACAGAGGUCUCAAGCGUUGUUCGGAAUCACUGGGCGUAAGGCGUGCGUAGGCUGUUUCGUAAGUCGUGUGUGAAAGGCGCGGGCUCAACCCGCGGACGGCACAUGAUACUGCGAGACUAGAGUAAUGGAGGGGGAACCGGAAUUCUCGGUGUAGCAGUGAAAUGCGUAGAGAUCGAGAGGAACACUCGUGGCGAAGGCGGGUUCCUGGACAUUAACUGACGCUGAGGCACGAAGGCCAGGGGAGCGAAAGGGAUUAGAUACCCGUGUAGUC